UACUACUGGCAAUGGGCAAGGAGACCCCUGAUUGGUGGUGUUGCUCUUAUAUCAGUCAGGGGUGAAGCAGACAUACAGUACUUAGUUUAUCCUAGUUUGAUACCUGUGUCAGUGGCAAGAGCUAUUUCAUGCCAGGGCAUAUUU
rfam:Myotis lucifugus cont2.14935, whole genome shotgun sequence.